GACCGUCGAAGGUUGCUGGUCUCUGGCUCCCGGCUCUAGCCUUCGAUUCGUUCGCCGGGUUUUCCGCUCGGGUUUCUCGGUGUGACAGGGAAGAGAGAGAGAGGAAGUGCUCAAGUGAUCGGGAUCAUCGCGCUGAUCAGCCCUGACAGCGAUCGGUCAGCUGAUUCCUUGUUUCUGAAGGAGAGACGAUCAGCGGAUAAUGGUUUCGUUUUCCGUGCCGACCGCUAAGCAGUGAUUAAUGGACUGAAUCCAUUGAAUUCGAGCCGAUUGACGGAAAAUCGGCCGAUAGUGAAUAUUGAGACUGUACAAAGGAGGGAAGAAAAAGUGGUGACGAGAGAGAGAAAAGUGAUUUUAUUCCUGUGAGUGCAGACGUCGAUUCGUGACGAAAACUCGAGGACCAUGACGGAGGGCGAACCUAACGUGAGUAAAUUAAUUUGCAGCAGGAUCGAUCGAGAAAGUUCAAUGGAUACCGACUUCGUGUAUUAAUUGCUUGUCACUUGCAACGAUUAUUAUGUGCAUCUUAAGUAGACAAGAAGAGCAUCUCUUACUUUGUCUUCUCUUACUAAUUCCGACUUCUUAUCUUUAAGAGCGUCUAGCGUUUUAAUAUCUUAAUAUAUGUUUAUAGUGUAUAAUAUGAAGAAUAUUAAAGAAUGAGCCACUUAUUGUCAAAUACUUAAAUUCAUGCAAA